CAAAAACCACACAAGCGAUAACAGUGGUAACACAUAUGACCCAUGUGAAAUGUCUUCUGAAGCAAAACAAUAGGUGUUUAUAAGAAUAAUAUUAAUAAUGACAGUUGGCCGUGUGAUAGUUUGGUUUAAAAAGUUUAAAAUACUAGUGUUUUCCAUACAAAUACCUGUUGUUUCACUUCAGAAGACACUGAUUCAUCUACUGGGAUAUAGGUGUUGGGUGAAGUAUUACUCUGAGACUGAGGAAGUUCCAGAAUGAUUAAUGUAACUCACUUUUUAAGUCUUUCUUUCUUUCAGAAUCAGUCAUACAUCUGCCGAAUAUAGUGAUCAGUGGUUUCUAAGCAUGUGCAGUUGAAAUAUGAAUUCUGUUGUAACAGAUGCAUAACUGUCAGAUCCUCCCCCAGUCUCACUUGCCGGCUCUGGCUCCCGCUCUGAUUUUCUGAGUUUCCUUUGGAGAAGAGGGUGGUAUGAACACUGACCGUGAUGAUUAAGGAGAGAUGGAGUGGAAUUGUGGAGUGUUUUGCUCUGCUCCAGGCUUUGGAGAUUAAGAGGAUUGAGAUGAGAGCUGAGAUUAACCUCUUCAGUCAUCUGCGACCGAAGCUAUAGCUCAACGAACACAGGACACAUACACAGUUCAUCUAAAACAAAACAAAGACAUUCACUCCUCAUCAGUCCAGGACAGAAGUGGAGGGAUUUGCCACCUAGAGCGAGUGACCUCUCUCACAUUUACAGAAGGAAGGAGUGAAAGGAGGAUUACUGAGGAGGGAUAAUCAAAUCAGCAGAGAGUGCAGAUGUUCUCCACAGCUGGCCAGAUGCCUAGAGCACACUCAUUAGUGAAAGUUUUGCAGGUUUGUGCGUCUCAUGGUGCCAUCAGCCAAUCAGCGUUGACAUGCUGUCAUUUUCCUCUGGUUCCAGAGCGAUCGUUGCAUGACAUUUACGACUCAGGUGACUAUCUCAGAAAAGAACUGUCAAUUUGUGUCAAAGCAACUUUAAUUGAGAUGAAUGGGAAUGCUAAUGAUUGUCUCUUUCCAAGUAUUAUUGAUCGAUUUGCUGGUUCAACUGUGUUUGAUUAGAAUCAGAAACCGAAUUCUGCAUAAAGAAUGGCAAUCUUACUCAUUUAAAUGUCAGUCCUAUAGCAAGCCAUGCAAAACCACUUUGCAGCUAUUCAAUAUCGCAAAUCAAAUGCAAGCUCUGCUCUUAAGUGCUCACUCACAUCCUGUCUCUGUCCAGCAUGUGUAGCAAGUCCUGGGUAUAAACAUUAGCAUUAGUGCUAUGGCUCAGUUACUCUUUAUAUUCCCACGAGGUGUCAGAGAGGUUUUGUUGCCACGGUGUAUUCCACAUCUGAUGCCCCCUUCCAUUCCCCUGUUUGAUAUCAGAUGACUGGCAGAGUGAGUUAAGCUGCUCUAAUGGCAUUUCAGAGCAGAGUGUCCAGUGAGCACCCUGAUGGAUUCCGCUCCCACCCAUCUGAACUCAAUUUGGAGGCAAUCCAAAAACACUUGGUUUUGUUUUUAUAGGUGAUGAUGUUCUAUCGGACCUCUGCCUCUGCGUGCCGCUCGCUGAAUUUGAUAGCCUUAACGUGGAAAAUGAGUUUUCCACUCUCGUCAUCUGCUUGUCAGCGGAGGCCGUUCUGUGGCGUUAAUGGUCCUGAUUAGAUGUCCCUCACUAUCUCUCCCGCAGGCUGGUUACACCCGUCCGGUUUACCUGAUAGAACGGGAUGGAAUCCACGAAUGGAUUCUCUUGUAAGAAAUAUCAGUCAUAAGUGUCACUUAUGUUGGGGAUGAGGAGGAAUUUGCGUCAUAGAUUCCCAAAGGUUUUUCACUGCCACUGACUUGAUUGCGUUUGAUUGUCUCUGAAGGCUUCUCCUGCCACUCUGAUUGAGGUGAAAGUUCCCACUGCACAAAGUAUCAUCUGACUUGUUACUUUUUUUGUGUGUCUGCACACCAAGGCUGGACAAAUGUAGAAGCUGACUAAUGCAUUUCAGUUUUUUACAAUUGCUUAAACCCAUUUCUCAAUUCUUAGGUCUUUUUUUUAAACUCUUCACACAGUUCUCUUUCAGCUUGGCACUAUUGUUAA
ensembl:lncRNA